AGUGAACGCUGGCGGUAGGCCUAACACGUGCAAGUCGAACGGCAGCACAGUAAGAGCUUGCUCUUACGGGUGGCGAGUGGCGGACGGGUGAGGAAUACAUCGGAAUCUACUUUUUCGUGGGGGAUAACGUAGGGAAACUUACGCUAAUACCGCAUACGACCUACGGGUGAAAGCAGGGGAUCUUCGGACCUUGCGCGAUUGAAUGAGCCGAUGUCGGAUUAGCUAGUUGGCGGGGUAAGGCCCACCAAGGCGACGAUCCGUAGCUGGUCUGAGAGGAUGAUCAGCCACACUGGAACUGAGACACGGUCCAGACUCCUACGGGAGGCAGCAGUGGGGAAUAUUGGACAAUGGGCGCAAGCCUGAUCCAGCCAUACCGCGUGGGUGAAGAAGGCCUUCGGGUUGUAAAGCCCUUUUGUUGGGAAAGAAAAGCAGCAGGUUAAUACCCCGCUGUUCUGACGGUACCCAAAGAAUAAGCACCGGCUAACUUCGUG
rnacentral:rRNA from 1 species